GAAGCUGCAUCUGUGUACAGUCCUCGUUGUCUUGCUGGCAAUCCUAGCACUGACCCUUGGAUCAUCUGCACUUGAAGAUGAGAAGUCCCAGGGGAAAUUCUUCCUGAAGUCCUUCCAGACGACUACGGUCACCACCCUCAGCAUCGUCAUGACGACAGUCCCGUACUUCUGCGCCAUCACCUCCAGCGCGACUGCCUGCACAGGACGCCGCCUGAGAAGGAGGAGGAGGGUCUCCCUCCCCGAGAUGGACGACGAGCGGACCGUGGGGCUGGAGAAGUCCACGGGAGACUUGGAGGCGGAGCACGACCCCGCAGGCGGCAAAGAAAACGGGAAGCUGUUCUUCACACUCUGGCAAAGUACGACCACCACCGUCACCGUGACCUCGACUGCCACCAACCGCUCGAUCACCAUUUCGGCUUCGGCCUAUUGCACGUUUGCCAACUACAACGUUCCUCUUUGCUAAUCAACAAGCCCUUUGGUCCCUCUUUGACGGUUUGCCCUCCAACGGGAAUACCCCUCGACGGUCUUGAACUGGUUGCUCUACAUUAGCUAAGUUAAGAGCACGUCCCAAGUAUCCUAGCUGGAGAAAAGAUAAAAUUUUGCAGAACGUUGGGAAUGAGACGUUACUAUAGUUCUGCUUUAUUUCAUACUGAUUGUUUUUUAGAAAUGACACUGAAAUUUUAAUUUGAUACCUAGUUUUGCUUUCAACUGAGGUAUAAUUUAUUUUUCCAGGGCAAAACUGAACCUUGUUAAUCAACAUUUUGCAUUUUUUUUUUCUGAAGCUCAGAACAAUGGCCACAUUUACCGGAAGAAUAACCGAGCACCGAAUGCUAUAAAAACAUUCUCUGUAAAAUAGUGUACAUAGUUUGCGACCCUAAUAAGUGAAAUAGUAUAG